rnacentral:rRNA from 1 species
AUUGAACGCUGUCGGCAGGCCUAACACAUGCACGUCGAACGAGUGGCGGACGGGUGCGUACUGUCUGGGAAACUGCCCGAUGGAGGGGGAUAACUACUGGAAACGGUAGCUAAUACCGCAUACCAUCGGAUGUGCCCAGAUGGGAUGAGCGUGUAGGUUCUGUAACGGCUCACCUAGGCGACGAUCCCUAGCUGGUCUGAGAGGAUGACCAGCCACACUGGAACUGAGCCACGGUCCAGACUCCGACGGGAGGCAGCAGUGGGGAAUAUUGCACAAUGGGCGCAAGCCUGAUGCAGCCAUGCCGCGUGUAUGAAGAAGGCCUUCGGGUUGUAAAGUACUUUCAGCGGGGAGGCGUUACCCGCAGAAGAAGCACCGACUAACUCCGUGCCAGCAGCCGCGGUAAUUC